CGUAGGAAUCUACCCAGUGGUGGGGGAUAGCCCGGGGAAACUCGGAUUAAUACCGCAUACGUUCUACGGAAGAAAGCGGGGGCUCUUCGGACCUCGCGCCAUUGGAUGAGCCUGCGUUAGAUUAGCUAGUUGGUGGGGUAAAGGCCUACCAAGGCGACGAUCUAUAGCUGGUCUGAGAGGAUGAUCAGCCACACUGGGACUGAGACACGGCCCAGACUCCUACGGGAGGCAGCAGUGGGGAAUAUUGGACAAUGGGGGCAACCCUGAUCCAGCCAUGCCGCGUGUGUGAAGAAGGCUUUCGGGUUGUAAAGCACUUUAAGUAGGGAGAAAGGCUAUAACGUUAAUAGCGUUGUAGAUUGAUGUUACCUACAGAAUAAGCACCGGCUAACUCCGUGCCAGCAGCCGCGGUAAUACGGAGGGUGCGAGCGUUAAUCGGAAUUACUGGGCGUAAAGCGCGCGUAGGGGUUUGCUAAGCCAGAUGUGAAAGCCCUGGGCUCAACCUGGGAACUGCAUUUGGAACUGGCAGGCUAGAGUACGGUAGAGGGUGGUAGAAUUUCCUGUGUAGCGGUGAAAUGCGUAGAUAUAGGAAGGAAUACCGGUGGCGAAGGGGCCACCUGGACCGAUACUGACGCUGAGGUGCGAAAGGUGGGGAGCGAACAGGAUUAGACACCCUGGUAGUCCACGCUGUAAACGAUGUCAACUAGCCGUAGAGUCCUUGAGGCUUUUGUGGCGCAGUAACGCACUAAGUUGACCGCCUGGGGAGUACGGCCG
rnacentral:rRNA from 1 species